rnacentral:rRNA from 1 species
AUUGUGGAAUAAUGAAAGACGGAGCAAUCUGUCACUUGGGGAUGGGCCUGCGGCGCAUUAGCUAGUUGGUGGGGUAAUGGCUCACCAAGGCGACGAUGCGUAGCCGACCUGAGAGGGUGAACGGCCACACUGGGACUGAGACACGGCCCAGACUCCUACGGGAGGCAGCAGUAGGGAAUCUUCCGCAAUGGGCGAAAGCCUGACGGAGCAACGCCGCGUGAGUGAUGAAGGUUUUCGGAUCGUAAAGCUCUGUUGCCAAGGAAGAACGUCUUCUAGAGUAACUGCUAGGAGAGUGACGGUACUUGAGAAGAAAGCCCCGG